AUGGGGUUUAAGCCUCUCAUACCGGUAUUAGAGGGCCAUGAAAUGCUUGGAACAGAGCCAACCCUUCUGCCACACCUUCACGUCCAGAAGAACCAAGGACCUUCCCUUCACUCAGGUGGUAUAAAGCCAAGAACCAACAAGUACCUUUCUCAUACCACCUGUGUUCACUACCCAGAGGAUGACCAUGGGGACAACACAGACGCCCACAUGGGUGUUAUUAUGGAUGGCUCUGGCGAUUGGUUUAACUGCCUCUCAAAGUGAGGAUACAACAAAGGCCACAGUUAACAUCAUCCCCUCAAUGUCAAGGUUGCCUGAGAUUGCAGGUAAGCUUCAUAAUACAUGUGCUAUACAGAUGUGAGACCUGAGGAUGGUGACAAUGAUUAACACUGCAGCCUUACAUAUCCACAGACAAUGGUGAAAGGACAAUAACCAUGAUGGAGACAGUCAUAGCAAGUUGUGCAACAGGUUUUGUGGAUUAGCUGGUUUUGAGAAGCAUGAAGUAGGCUAGCUCAUUCAUUUAUUGUUCAAGUUCAUAAAUAUGAUAGAGAUUGGAUGUACUUUGAAAAGUCUUUGUUUUUUAGUUGAUUAAAUAUUGAAUUUGGCGUUUACUACUGUAGCCCAUAGAACGCUUUGAAUAACACAUUCAUUAAUGCCAAAAAAGUUUCUGGAGGUAUAAGAAAGUUCAGGAAAUAUUUGUGUUUUUUAUACAUAUUUAACCAUAUAAUAACCAUAUUGUUAUUUAUUUUAUUUAUAUAUAUAUAUAUAUAUAUAUAUAUAUAUAUAUAUAUAUAUAUACAGUAUAUUUGCUCCUUUGUACCCCAGUAUCUCUACUUGCACAUUCAUCUUCUGCACAUCUAUCACUCCAGUGUUUAUUUGCGAAAUUGUAAUUAUUUUGCCACUACGGCCUAUUUAUUAUUGCCUUACCUCCCUAAUCUUACUUCAUUUGCACACACUGUAUAUAGAUUUUUCUAUUGUGUAAUUGACUGCAUGUCUGUUUAUUCCAAGUGUAACUCUGUGAUGUUUGUGUCAGACUGCUUUGCUUUAUCUUGGCCAGGUCGCAGUUGUAAAUGAGAACUUCUUCUCAACUGGGCAACCUGGUUAAAUAAAUGUAAAAUAAAAGACAUAACCCAUUUUUUUUUGUUGGCACAAAACU
rnacentral:lncRNA from 1 species